UACAGAGGGUGCGAGCGUUAAUCGGAAUUACUGGGCGUAAAGCGCACGUAGGCGGCUUGGUAUGUCGGGUGUGAAAUCCCCGGGCUCAACCUGGGAACUGCAUCCGAAACUGCCUUGCUCGAGUAUGGGAGAGGGAAGUGGAAUUUCCGGUGUAGCGGUGAAAUGCGUAGAUAUCGGAAGGAACAUCAGUGGCGAAGGCGGCCUCCUGGACCAAUACUGACGAUCAGGUGCGAAAGCGUGGGGAGCAAACAGG
rnacentral:rRNA from 1 species